ensembl:miRNA
UUAACAAAGACCAUACUAGGGUCCGCUCUUUAAAAGGCUGUUAAAUGGUGAUACUAUAUUUUUUAACAUCAACAUCAUUUAGAAACCUUUUAGAGAACAGUCCUGUUCACCCACAACUAACACAGAGAAAA